ensembl:misc_RNA
CACAAAUAGACCUUCUGUUAAAAAUAGCCUUGGUCUAAAUGUGGAAAGAGUGUAAAUAUAGUAGCGGGUUUCGGCUUACUACUAGCCGAGCCGCCCCAGCUCCAAGUAACAGAGGCUUAUUAUAG